AUUGAACGCUGGCGGCAGGCCUAACACAUGCAAGUCGAGCGAGCGGCGGACGGGUGAGUAAUGUCUGGGAAACUGCCUCAUGGAGGGGGAUAACUACUGGAAACGGUAGCUAAUACCGCAUACCCUCAGAUGUGCCCAGGGGGGAUUAGCUAGUAGGUGGGGUACUGUCUCACCUAGGCGACGAUCCCUAGCUGAUCUGAGAGGAUGACCAGCCACACGGGAACGGAGACACGGUCCGGACGCCUACGGGAGGAAGCAGUGGGGAAUCGUGGACAAUGGGCGCAAGCCUGAUGCAGCCAUGCCGGGUGUGUGAAGAAGGCCUUCGGGUUGUAAAGCACUUUCAGCGAGGAGGCGUUACUCGCAGAAGAAGCAACGGCUAACGCCGUGCCAGCAGCCGCGGUAAUAC
rnacentral:rRNA from 1 species